rnacentral:rRNA from 1 species
UACGAACGGUCCAAACGUUAUUCGGAAUCACUGGGCUUAAAGCGUCCGUAGGCGGCUCGGUAAGUCGGGUGUGAAAUCCCACGGCUCAACCGUGGAAUUGCGCUCUAAACUAUCGAGCUAGAGGGAGAUAGAGGUGAGCGGAACUGAUGGUGGAGCGGUGAAAUGCGUUGAUAUCAUUAGGAACUCCGGUGGCGAAGGCGGCUCGCUGGAUCUUUUCUGACGCUGAGGCGCGAAAGCUAGGGGAGCAAACGGG